rnacentral:misc_RNA from 1 species
GAAAUGCGAUAAGUAAUGUGAAUUGCAGAAUUCAGUGAAUAAUCGAAUCUUUGAACGCACCUUGCGCUCCUUGGUAUUCCUUGGAGCAUGCCUGUUUGAGUAUCAUGAAAUCUUCAAAGUAAAUAUUUUGUUAACUCAAUUGGUUUCUACUUUGGUAUUGGAGGUCUUUGCAGCUUCACACCUGCUCCUCUUUGUUCAUUAGCUGGAUCUCAGUGUUAUGCUUGGUUCCACUCGGCGUGAUAAGUUAUCUAUCGCUGAGGACACUGUAAAAGGUGGCCAAGGUAAAUGCAGAUGAACCGCUUCUAAUAGUCCAUUGACUUGGACAAUACUUUUAUGAUCUGAUCUCAAAUCAGGUAGGACUACCCGCUGAACUUAAGC